rnacentral:rRNA from 1 species
CAGCCGUAAACAAUGUGCGUUAGGUGUGUCGGUAACCACGCGUUACUGAUGCGCCGAAGAGAAAUCGUGAAACGCACCACCUGGGAAGUACGGUCGCAAGGCUGAAACUUAAAGGAAUUGGGCGGGGGAGCACCACAACAGGUGGAGCCUGCGGUUUAAUUGGAUUCAACGCCGGACAUCUCACCGGAUAAGACAGCUGAAUGAUUGUCAAUCUGAAGGUUUUACAUGACUAGCUGAGAGGAGGUGCAUGGCGUCAGUGACU